rnacentral:misc_RNA from 1 species
GAUGAAGAACGCAGCGAAAUGCGAUACGUAAUGUGAAUUGCAGAAUUCAGUGAAUCAUCGAGUCUUUGAACGCACAUUGCGCCCCCUGGUAGUCCGGGGGGCAUGCCUGUCCGAGCGUCAUUGCUGCCCUCAAGCACGGCUUGUGUGUUGGGCCUCCGUCCUCCUCCCGGGGGACGGGCCCGAAAGGCAGCGGCGGCACCGCGUCCGGUCCUCGAGCGUAUGGGGCUUCGUCACCCGCUCUUGUAGGCCCGGCCGGCGCUUGCCGACACAUCAAUCUUUUUUCCAGGUUGACCUCGGAUCAGGUAGGGAUACCCGCUGAACUUAAGCAUAUCAAUAAGCGGAGGA